AUUGAACGCUGGCGGCAGGCCUAACACAUGCAAGUCGAGCGGAUGAAGGGAGCUUGCUCCUGGAUUCAGCGGCGGACGGGUGAGUAAUGCCUAGGAAUCUGCCUGGUAGUGGGGGAUAACGUCCGGAAACGGGCGCUAAUACCGCAUACGUCCUGAGGGAGAAAGUGGGGGAUCUUCGGACCUCACGCUAUCAGAUGAGCCUAGGUCGGAUUAGCUAGUUGGUGGGGUAAAGGCCUACCAAGGCGACGAUCCGUAACUGGUCUGAGAGGCUGAUCAGUCACACUGGAACUGGGACACGGUCCAGACUCCUACGGGAGGCAGCAGUGGGGAAUAUUGGACAGUGGGCGAAAGCCUGAUCCAGCCAUGCCGCGUGUGUGAAGAAGGUCUUCGGAUUGUAAAGCACUUUAAGUUGGGAGGAAGGGCAGUAAGUUAAUACCUUGCUGUUUUGACGUUACCAACAGAAUAAGCACCGGCUAACUUCGUG
rnacentral:rRNA from 1 species